rnacentral:lncRNA from 1 species
AGCUCCAUCCUCACCAGCCUGGCUGAGCUACAGCCCGGCAAUUCGGGCUGAGGACGACAAGCAGAAGGUGUGCAAGUGCCCCCGAGCUCCCCACUCCAUUGACCGAAGCUCAAGAAACCGGGAGUGGGCUAGCGGCGGUAUUGCACGGAGGGGACUGAGAAAAAGAGGACUGGAGACCAUGAAGCUAUUCAGGCAGGGGUAGGAUUGAGCCCCCCGAGUCCACCCAGAGGACUUUGGCAGGGUCUGGGGCGGCCAGGGUGGCUUCAAGGGAUCGGAGGGCUCUGACCACUGCAGAUGCGGCGCGUGUGGGUGCGGUGAAAGCACCCACUUCUCCCAGGAUCUAAACGGAUAAACGGAAGCGAGUGUAAGUGUGGGGGUGCGAAUCGCCACCUCCGGCCUUGGCUUUCCCGUUCGUGAGAGCACCCCCACUUCUCACUUUCCCCAAAUCCGCAUUUUUCUUGGCACAACCCUCCCGAACACCGAGCGAGGAGAGGGAGGUGCCCGGGGGCAGUGAGAGUGACGUGUGCUGGUGCAGAGGGGGGGGGGGGGGGCUGCGGGCCGGGCUCUGUGGACCUACUCCUAAUCCUCUUGUUUUCGGAACUGUCAGCAGAUGUGGCUUCUCUUAGCUGAAUAAUCCGUUAAAGG